rnacentral:tRNA from 1 species
GCCUGGAUAGCUCAGUUGGAUAGAGCAUGGUCCUGAUAAUGCCAGGGUUGCAGGUUUGAUCCCUGCAUGGGGCG